GUAUUUGGAACCGGGGACAUCCGAUAAAAUUGGAACAAUACAGAGAAGAUUAGCAUGACCCCUGCGCAAGGAUGACACACAUAAAUCGAGAUAAGCGUACAGGAUCU